AUUGAACGCUGGCGGCAGGCCUAACACAUGCAAGUCGAACGAGUGGCGGACGGGUGAGUAAUGUCUGGGAAACUGCCCGAUGGAGGGGGAUACCUACUGGAAACGGUAGCUAAUACCGCAUACCCUCGGAUGUGCCCAGAUGGGAUUAGCUAGUAGGUGGGGUAACGGCUAACCUCGUCGAAGAUCCCUAGCUGGUCAGAGAGGAUGACCAGCCACACUAGAACUGAGUCACGGUCCAGACUCCUACGUAGGGCAGCAGGGGGGAAUAUUGCACAGUGGGCGCAAGCCUGAUGCAGCCAUGCCGCGUGUAUGAAGAAGGCCUUCGGGUUGUAAAGUACUUUCAGCGAGGAGGCGUUACUCGCAGAAGAAGCACCGGCUAACUCCGUACCAGCAGCCGCGGUAAUU
rnacentral:rRNA from 1 species